CAAAAAGCAGUAAUCUAGGAAUUCUCAGGCAAGACAUAAGUGAGUAAACCAGAAGUUGACGUGGUCACUGUGCAUUGUUGUUGCCAGUUCCAUUGUUUCCAUUGGCAUUUGUUGUGUUUAUAGUAUUAAUACCAUCUUGCUGAAGAGCAUCUUUUCUUGGUGGCAUUCUCUCAUUGAUCCUAUCCAAACCUUUUGCUUCUUCAAAACUGCAGAUUUUAUGUUGCGGAGAGAAUCCUCGUAUUGCACUUUGCAGGGUCUGUCGUCCUCCAGCCAACACUCCACUAGGUAACAUUCCAGUGGGAGUCAAACCCUUGAGUGUCAGCACACUUUCACUCUCCUCCCUGAGAACAGAGAAGACUCUUGCCAUCUUGCCAAUUGCACGAAUUUUGUUCCUGAUUAUUUC
rnacentral:lncRNA from 1 species